CAACUGCAUCCUCGAUCAGCUCCUUAAUUUUCGGGCCGAUUCCAAGUGAAUCGUGCCUCCUCGAUCCUUCUUUCUCUUCCCAGAUCGAGAAAAACGGCGCCGCCGCUCCUCGCUUCUCCUCCUUCUGUGCACUUCCCCCCGAUCCACCCGAGUCGACCCUGCCUCCAGUCGUCGCUCGCGCUCCUGCAAGCCGCCGCCGACCUCCUCAGCCGGACGCCAUGGCCACCGGGGGCAGGGGGACGCGGCCGCGAUGGCCCCGAGCUCGGCGGCAUGGAAGCCAUUGGAGGCACUAGCGAGGCCGAUGUCGGUGAGCCUAGCAGCGGCGGUCGGGUGCAUUGAGCGCAGGUCUUCCCCGCCACGGCGCCCUGAUGCUCUGCACCGCCAUCGUUGCCACCGGAUUCGGCAGGGAACAGACGGAUCCGUGGAGCCCGCAUCGUAUCCGCCGUCCCAGCUUCCCGUUGCUCCACCGGCGUCCUGGUCCGUCCUGGUCUUCGUCACCAGCCAAGAUCCCUUAGCACCGCCGCCCCCGAACGAUCUCCAGCCGCCUCCACGCGCACGGGAUCGAGCAAGGCCGCGCCUGCGUCCCACGUCCGCUUCAUCCCAUGGGUCGUUAGCCUUCGCCUCGGCCCAGCUGCCUUGCGUCCAGCCUACAGCCGCCCUAAGGUGUAAUGUUGCUGUUGAUUAUUUAAGUGUAUUGUCAUAAGGUGUAAUGUUAUAGCAUAUUUACUUGGAGAAUCUCAUGCAUUCUUCAUUCGGUAUAUGUUUUUUCAACUUUUUCUGCUGACUAUAUCUGAAGGAGCAAUCCUCAUUUAGCAUUUGGAAGCCCAUGUUUCCGUCACCCCGGAUGUUGACGGGCGGCAGCUCGAAGGACGUGUGGCCACGAUGAAAAUGGCGCAGCAACCGGCACAAGUGGCGGGAGCAGCGGUCAGGACCACGGGCAUGGCUGGGCAGUGACAUGUGCGUAAGCAAUGUCGAGCGUGGCGGAUGACGCCAAGAUGAGAUUCUCCAUAUCGUUAUUUCCUCUCUCUCUCUCUCUACCAAUCCUUCUUGCUUCCCCUCUGUCUCUCUCAAUGCCACUAUAUGCAGGUUCUGACAUGUGCUUUUGUUUGAUCCCGGCUUGAUUUUUUCUUUGGUAAGAUUCAAUGAUGGUUGAUGCAAGCCCAUGCUUCUCACAAGUUGGAUUGAAGUUUGUUGUUCCUCUAUUUGUACUAUUGUUUCCUUACCAAGUACUAUCAGUACUGGGGUAGAAAACACUUACCUAUUACAUAGUUCUUUGCUGACAGCCGAAUGUGAUGUUUGAACGGUUUCCCCUAUAUGCAGGAAGUACAAUUUGCAUGUAAUUUUUUACUUUUAGUUUCAGAUUAUCCCUUUUUCUGUGUGCAUUUACUAGAAGCUUAUAUGAAUCUGUGUCAUCUUUCAUCGAGUAAAAUGUAAGUCAGUUCAAGUUAACAUUGAGCAUUUUUCAGUUCUCUCUCUUGUUAGGCUAAUUUAGGUAGUUUUACUGGGCCAUGCAUACUUGCUUCAUGUCCUUUCUUUCAGACAUUUGGCAAAUUAAAUCAUCCAAUGUUUAGUUAUUUUCUCAUUAUAUUUUCCUGAAGGUGUCCAAAUACAAUCAAUUUACCCCCUGUAAGUGCACCCAAUUCGAUGUUUUUGUCAAUUGUAUUAUUUAGAAGGCGCAGAUUUCUAGCAACCAUAUAAUUUAGAAAUGGUAUGAUAUAUGUUGCCGUCUUGUGACCCCCAGUUGACAAGCAAUUUCAAGAAAAAACACCAUUUCACUCAGUUUGAUUAUCAUUUUGCAGGCCUGGUAUAGCAGAAUUAGAGUUGAAGCUCUCUGAGUAUACCAAAAAGAUGUCAUAUCUGCAACAGAUGGUUCAGGAGCUAGCCUCAAAGUACACUGCAGUAUACUAUCUACACUAACAGGGUAGUCUCUAGUGCCCAGUAUGACUAUAAUCUGAAUGAAGACUAUGCCGAGACAGAGCUGAAGUUGAGGGAACAUUGCAAUCGUUUAUCGGAACAGUAAAAUCCUUCAAUAUGAUAUAUAGUAAGGCAGGCGGUCCAGCAGCAGCGUAGUUGUCGUCAUCGGUGUCGAUGAGGGGCGUAGGCACAGAGAUGACGCCAAUCGACAGCCAGGAGUAGUCGAGGAGCGGCACUCUGGCCGGAGCCGCCACGCCAUCUCUUAACCAGCUCUGCUCUAAAUUUUGAACUCUUAACAAAACUGUGAAACAAAUCUCAGCUGGUUGUAAUUGUGCAAAUAUAUGUCAGGUGCAGGCUGGUCAGAUGAGGGCACGGGCGAAGAACAACAUGACCAAGAGACUGUCCCCAUUGGGCCACAAGGUGGAGGGGAAGCAGGCGAGGGUCGAGGCUGAGGUAGAACUGGCGGGCACUCUGGCUGGCGUGACAGGUGGAGCGCAUCCGGAAGACCGAGCGCAUGUCGUCCCGGUUCCGGUGCUGCAACUGGUUCAUGUGCUGAAAACCAAACAAAACUCAGAUGCGUCUGAAAUGCAACCUGACUGAAGAAGCCUCAAGGUCUCAGUGCAAGCUUCUGGGACAAGAUGUACAUGAAAUUAUUUGAAUCAAUGUGCUGUAGGUGUUGCUUUACUCUAUAAUCUAUACAAUCUUAAUGGCUGUGACCUGA